rnacentral:rRNA from 1 species
UACAGAGGUCCCAAGCGUUGUUCGGAUUCAUUGGGCGUAAAGGGUGCGUAGGUGGCGCUGUAAGUGGGGUGUGAAAUCCCGGGGCUUAACCCCGGGACUGCAUUCCAUACUGCGGUGCUUGAGGACUGGAGAGGAGACUGGAAUUUACGGUGUAGCAGUGAAAUGCGUAGAGAUCGUAAGGAAGACCAGUGGCGAAGGCGGGUCUCUGGACAGUUCCUGACACUGAGGCACGAAGGCCAGGGGAGCAAACGGG